ACCAAUUCCGGAGGAUGAUUUUGUUCCCUCACGGUAUAAUGGCUCGGGCGCAACAUGCUAUUCUCUUGAUGUGCGGUCAUAUCCUUAUUGGUUGCGUUCUUAUGCCAAUCCGGCCCUGGAAAGCUCGCAUAUAGUA
rnacentral:snoRNA from 1 species